GGUGAGCUUAAUACGCUCAUCAAUUGACGUUACUCGCAGAAGAAGCACCGGCUAACUCCGUGCCAGCAGCCGCGGUAAUACGGAGGGUGCAAGCGUUAAUCGGAAUUACUGGGCGUAAAGCGCACGCAGGCGGUUUGUUAAGUCAGAUGUGAAAUCCCCGGGCUCAACCUGGGAACUGCAUUUGAAACUGGCAAGCUAGAGUCUCGUAGAGGGGGGUAGAAUUCCAGGUGUAGCGGUGAAAUGCGUAGAGAUCUGGAGGAAUACCGGUGGCGAAGGCGGCCCCCUGGACGAAGACUGACGCUCAGGUGCGNAAGCGUGGGGAGCAAACAGGAUUAGAUAC
rnacentral:rRNA from 1 species